CACAGAUGUUGGAAUUUCUGGCUUUGAUCCUAUGUAAAAAGACGUGAUCAUAGUCGAUCUGGACUCUAAUCUUAACUGUUCUAAUUACUUCAUCGAAGCUGAGAGCAAUGUUCUUAUGACCGGGUAUCCAGUGCAAAAUAAAGUUGCUAGUGAAGGAAUUGUCUAUAUUGAGGUGGAUUUCGUCUGUUAAGUAUGAAUUUGAUUCAUUGCUUUUCAGAGCCUUUAAGGCCCCUUGACUAUCACAGAGAAUAACAGUUUUAUUAUAUCUUUUUUUACUUGAUAUCUUUACUGCUGUUAGUAUUCC